rfam:Tolumonas auensis DSM 9187, complete genome.
CCUGGCGGCAAUAGCGCGAUGGAACCACCUGUACCCAUGCCGAACACAGAAGUGAAACGUUGUAGCGCCGAUGGUAGUGUGGCAUUCGCCAUGUGAGAGUAGGACACUGCCAGGC